UGCAUGUCUAAGUUCAUACAGUGCUACUGUGAGACUGCGGAAGGCUCAGUAUAUCAGUUAUAAUCUAUUUGAUUGUUUUUCCCAAUGGAUAACCGUGGGAAAUCUAGAGCUAAUACAUGCAGAUUUUUGAAUGGCGCAAGUUGUUCAAAGCAUUUAUUAGAUUAAAACCAGCUUUGCUAGGGGGCAACCUCUAGCAUAAGGUGAAUCUAGAUAACUUUGCUGAUCGUAUGGCCUUGAGCCGGCGACGUUUCAAUUGAAUUUCUGCCCUAUCAACUUGUUGGUAAGGUAGUGGCUUACCAAGGUUACAACGGGUAACGGGGAAUCAGGGUUCGAUUCCGGAGAGGGAGCCUGAGAAAUGGCUACCACAUCCAAGGGAGGCAGCAGGCGCGCAAAUUACCCAAUCCAAAAAAUGGGAGGUGGUGACGAGAAAUACUAGAUGGUUUCCUAUUGGAUGCCAUACUGGAAUGGACGUAAUUUAAGAAAUUCGAUGAGUAACAACUGGAGGGCAAGUCUGGUGCCAGCAGCCGCGGUAAUUCCAGCUCCAGUGGUGUAUUUUAAAGUUGCUGCGUUUAAAACGCUCGUAGUUGGAUUACGCAGUGCAAGUUGGUAGAUUGGCAUAGUAGUACAUUAAAUCUGGCUGGUUUUUUCAUGACUUGUGGUUAAACCCAGGGCAUUGGAGGGCUGGUCAGAGUGCUACGUGUCGAUUAUAAGCUAGCUUGCACUACUUACGCGUGAGGAUGGUAGUUGAUCUUCAGUGUAUCGACUAUUGUGUCUCACGGAGUGUGCCUUGAAUAAAUCAGAGUGCUUAAUACAGGCUUUUGCUUGAAUGUUAAUAGCAUGGAACGAACAAUUGUGUUUACGUGUGCUGUGAGGACACAUUAGUGGAUUUAUAUUUGCUGGUGUCUCUUUGCAGUGCACAGCACCAACCACCAAUACAGGAUGUUGGUUUCCGUAUUGGGGUGAUGAUUAAAAGGAGCGGUUGGGGGCAUUAGUAUUCUAGCGCGAGAGGUGAAAUUCUUGGACCGCUAGAGGACUAACAAAUGCGAAGGCAUUUGCCAAGACCGUUUCCAUUAAUCAAGAACGAUAGUGAGAGGUUCGAAGACGAUCAGAUACCGUCCUAGUUCUCACUGUAAACUAUGCCGACCCGGGAUCAGUUUUGAGUCAUUUACAAACGCUCGUGGUUGGUCCCCCUGGGAAACCUCAAGUUUUUAGGUUACGGGGGGAGUAUGGUUGCAAGGCUGAAACUUAAAGGAAUUGACGGAAGGGCACCACCAGGGGUGGAGCCUGCGGCUUAAUUUGACUCAACACGGGAAAACUCACCUGGUCAGGACAUCGAAAGGAUAGACAGACUGAUAGAUCUUUCUUGAUACGGUGGAUGGUGGUGCAUGGCCGUUCUUAGUUCGUGGAGUGAUCUGUCAGGUUGAUUCCGGUAACGAACGAGACCAUAAUCUUCAUUUAUGGGCUUGGAAAAGAUUGUAGCGGACACGUUCAUGGGCAACUGUGGGCGUGAAAACUGCAGUUGCAGGUUAAUUGUGUGGGGUUGUGGUUCGCCGUGUAGGGUUAUGGGCUCGCUCAUGGUUUUAUGCGGUUGACUAUGAUUUUGCAUACUUUCCUUCCAAGUUGACAUUGUAGGGUGCAAAUUCUGCAAUGUGCUAUGAAGAGACAACCAAAUAUAUUAGAAAUUGGAGGAAGCGUUUGGCGAUAACAGGUCUGUGAUGCCCUUAGAUGUCCAGGGCCGCACGCGCGCUACAAUGAUAACAACAACGAGUAUCUGGGUCGAAAGACUUGGGUAAUCUUUUCAAUUGUUAUCGUGAUGGGGAUUGAACAUUGCAAUUAUUGUUCAUGAAAGAGGAAUCCCUAGUAAGUGCAUUUCAUUAGAAUGCGCUGAUUAAGUCCCUGCCCUUUGUACACACCGCCCGUCGCUACUACCGAGUGAAUCGUGUCAUAAUGCCUUGGGACUGGACGUCAUUUGGGUUUUCGGACUCGUAAUGAUGCUAGGAUCAAGGU
rnacentral:rRNA from 1 species